AACUUUUUUUUAUUUUUUCAGGUUCUUAAUAAAGGUGCUAGGAAAGAAUGUAAAACAGGAAAAUAAUUAAAUAUUUUCACUGUGAACUACAGACAAUUUUAAGAGGCUGGCCUGUUGCUCAAUGGACUCAUUCUAUUUGCAUCUAUGGGUAUUAAAGAUUCAUGGAUGAGAAAAGAAGAAUUUUAAAUAUUCUCAGGGAUCUACCUGUGUGACCAAGAUAUCUCUGCGUGAGAAAAACAUGACACUCUGAGGGCUGAAAGGUUUCUGUGCUACACUGGAGCUGAAAAAAAAAACUACAUGGGGAACACUAAGCAUCCUGAAAGCCAGGAAAUGGUAAGUGU
rnacentral:lncRNA from 1 species